GGGCCGCUAGCUCAGGUGGUUAGAGUGCACCCCUGAUAAGGGUGAGGUCGGUGGUUCGAGUCCACUGCGGCCCA
rnacentral:tRNA from 1 species